rnacentral:rRNA from 1 species
UGGGGGAUAUUGCACAAUGGGCGAAAGCCUGAUGCAGCGACGCCGCGUGGGGGAUGAAGGCUUUCGGGUUGUAAACCUCUUUCGCUAUCGAACAAGGCCCGCUUAGGGUGGGUUGAGGGUAGGGGAGAAGAAGCGCCGGCUAACUACGUGCCAGCAGCCGCGGUAAUACGUAGGGCGCGAGCGUUGUCCGGAAUUAUUGGGCGUAAAGGCCUUGUAGGCGGCUUGUUGCGCCUGCUGUGAAAACGCGGGGCUUAACUUCGCGCGUGCAGUGGGUACGGGCAGGCUUGAGUGUGGUAGGGGUGACUGGAAUUCCAGGUGUAGCGGUGGAAUGCGCAGAUAUCUGGAGGAACACCGAUGGCGAAGGCAGGUCACUGGGCCAUUACUGACGCUGAGGAGCGAAAGCAUGGGUAGCGAACAGG